GUUCCCUACGGGACGCAGCAGUGAGGAAUAUUGGUCAAUGGGCGAGAGCCUGAACCAGCCAAGUCGCAUGAGGGAAGACGGUCCUAUGGAUUGUAAACCUCUUUUGCCGGGGAGCAAAAAGCGGUACGUGUACCGCAUCGAGAGUACCCGGAGAAAAAGCAUCGGCUAACUCCGUGCCAGCAGCCGCGGUAAUACGGAGGAUGCGAGCGUUAUCCGGAUUUAUUGGGGUUAAAGGGUGCGCAGGCGGCGAGUUAAGUCAGCGGUAAAAUUUCGGGGCUCAACCCCGACGAGCCGUUGAAAGUGGG
rnacentral:rRNA from 1 species